GUAAGGGAAGUUGUCUUUGGCCCAUGUUCAGAGGCAUUUGUUGAGGGCCUGGCAGCAUUGUUUGCGACCUAUUACAACUUAAACCUUGCUUAUCAGGAUGAAGCUGCAUGCACCCUCGAAAUUAUUCAGAGAGGAAUUGUGGGCAUUAACCUGGAAACUGGAUCAAAAGUUGCUGGAAAGAGAGACAAAAAAAUGAAAGUAAUGAACCCACAUGCAUGCACACUGCUGCGGAAGCUAGUGGACUUUGAAUGGCUUGCCAUUUAAAAGAAAAAAAGUGUUCCAAUGGAAUAGUUAAUGUACAUGCAAUGUCUUGCCUCUUCAUGGAUUUGGCAAUUUAAAGGUAGGCACAGUUCAGACCCUUUCUUUUGUGUUUAUUUAAACUAAGUUUAUGAAUGAAGUUCAGUCCCACUGUAGGG